CAAAACCGACAAGUGUAUGGUUCAGCUCAAACCAUAAUUCCUUAGGCAGCCAGCUUUGCAAAGCAGCUCUAGUCUGUUCUUCAGUUUUCGUAUUACACCAAUGAAGAAGAUUACAUAUACGAUGUACGUGAACAUCUACUCCAAUUCCAACAGUUUUAUUCCAUGCAAUACUCAUACAUAGAUAUCCCAUUUUAGGCCCCACACCUGGGAGAGUCAUUAGGUCUUCUACGGUGUCCGGAAUAUCUCCUUGGAACUUUUCUGAUAAAAUACGUGCCAUUUGUUUCAAAUAAAUGGUUUUUCGGUUAUGAAAACCAACUUUCUCGAUUAGUUUAUUUAGAGAAACUUCAUCAAUAUUUUGGAUAUCUUCUAAACAAAGUCCUCCAGCUAAUUUUUCUUUUAAGUUUCGCAUGGUAGGACCCAGUACUAUAUCUUUUGUUUGGCUAGAAAGCAUCAAUGCCACCAGUGUUUGAAAUCGAAAUUUUUUUGGAUCAUUACGUUCUCCUAAUGUAUGACAACCCUGAACGUCUACAGGCGCUACGACCUUGGCUUUCAUUUUACAAAUUUCAUCGUAAACCUCCCUCCAGUUCUCAGGAGGAGUUCCGUAGUCUUUACUCAUUGCUUAACAAAUACAAAUUUGUCUGCAGUCUUGGCUAAAGAUUUUAUUUUCUUCAACAACUCAUUUACUGAACUUUAGCGAUAUUACAUCCAAGAAACAACGCAGGUGAGCGCAAAAAUAUUAAAAUUUAUAAGUGAUUUGUUUUGAAUACAAUGCGGUAAUAGUCUGACUUGGAGUUUCUCAAUUUUAUAAAAGAAAUAAUUUUUUAACUAAGCCAUAUAUAUGCCAAGGCGAAAUUCUCCUACGCAUUAAGAAACAAACACUCAUUAUAUUUUACUGCUUCUUUUUCAAAAAGUCAGCUUAAGAAUCAUCAGAAUGCUAUGGGAGACAUUACUUUAGGUCCUCCAUCAUACAGAAGGGAGGAAAGUAGAGUUUAAAAAAAAAACAAAAAUUAGAUUAAUUAAAGAUCACGAAUUGCUAGUAUUAUGGAAACAAAUGAUUUUUACAGCAGUA